GACGAACGCUGGCGGCGUGCUUAACACAUGCAAGUCGAACGAUGAAGCCGGAGCUUGCUCUGGUGAAUUAGUGGCGAACGGGUGAGUAACAAGUGAGUAACCUGCCCUUGACUCUGGGAUAACUGCGGGAAACUGUAGCUAAUACCGGAUACGACCCUCGGAGGCAUCUCCUGGGGGUGGAAAGAAUUUCGGUCAAGGAUGGACUGGCGGCCUAUCGGCUAGUUGGUGAGGUAAAGGGUCACCAAGGCGACGACGGGUAGCCGGCCUGAGAGGGUGACCGGCCACACUGGGACUGGGACACGGCCCAGACUCCUACGGGAGGCAGCAGUGGGGAAUAUUGCACAAUGGGCGCAAGCCUGAUGCAGCAACGCCGCGUGAGGGAUGACGGCCUUCGGGUUGUAAACCUCUUUUAGCAGGGAAGAAGCGAAAGUGACGGUACCUGCAGAAAAAGCACCGGCUAACUACGUGCCAGCCGCCGCAGUAA
rnacentral:rRNA from 1 species